ensembl:lncRNA
GCAAAGAGAUGUUUUGAGAAUGGUGCCUGGUUAACACUAGUUAGCACACUCGGAAAUCAGAACAAUGACUAUUGCAAUUUGCCCUCUGGGUUUUGGUUGGCCAAAUCUGCUGGUGAAGAUUGGUUGGGCCAACAGAUCAAACCCUGGAUGGCAGAGAUGCUAACGGUUUUCCUAACUAUUAACUUACCCAUCAUAGGGAGACAGUAAUAAUAAUAAUAAUAAAAGCAACAAUAACAAUAACAACAGCUAGCAUUUAUAAUUCUAAUGAUAUGACCAACAACAAUUUAAUGAUUAUAACAAUUAAUAAUAGCUCCCACUUUAAGGUUUGCAAAACACUUUACAAAUACGAUCUCAUUUGUUCCUUACAACAGUGAGGCUAUGAGGCACGUGCACGGAAACACAAAAAAUGUCCUGGUCCAAGCCAAGAAAUGAACAGAUUUUGAAUAUGAUAACCAGGCAAGGAGCUCUAUGGGCUAAUACCCUGGUCUCUCUGGUUCUGCUCUACAGUGCAUUUGGCGUUGUCAUAGACAAAACAUGAGGGGCAGAAGAUGACAUCAAUACAGGAGCAGCCGGGACCAUGGCAGGAAUAUUAUAGAAAUGUACAGGUGGUCUUCGUGGAGUAGCAGGACGUGGUCUGACAGGGCUAACCCUUACUAGCCUAUAUGCAUUAUAUAACAACUGGGAGCACAUGAAAGGUUCCAUGGCACAACAGUCACUUUAGAGCAGGUCCCCAAACUACAGCCCGAGGGCCACAUGUGGCUCCCCGGGCCAUUGAUCCAGCCCCCACCGCACUUCCGGAAGGGGCACCUCUUUCAUUGGUGGUCAGUGAGAGGAGCACAGGAUGUGGCAUCGCUCACGUGCAGUACUACUUCCGGUGACAUAAUCCUUUGUGUGGCGCCUUGUUCUGAGAGUAACGGAAUGAGAAGGCCCACAGUUCCCAUUGAAAUACUGAUGAUAAAACUGGGUCAAAGUGAUUAUUCUACCAUUCCAUGCUACUACCCAUCUCAUAAAGUAUCAGAAGCAGAACUUGAACCAAGGUCUUCUGAUUCCAGGGCCACUGUACCACUGGUCCUCUCCACAGAAUGAAGGAGGAACAAAAUGAAUUGUUCAAGUUGAUCUCCAAAUCAAAAAGGAACUCAAGGGACCUCAGGGAUCAGUUUAUUCAAUCCCUUCAUUUUACAGAUGAGAAAACUGGCCCAGAUUGUCAAAGUGGUUUAACUAAAGGCAAUUAAUGAAUCAGUGCCAGGUAGGUCUAGAAUUUAUAAUCUUCAUCUUCAAAAGUCAGGGUCAUCCCCCAAACGACUCUGAUCUUCUUAGUUACCCCUCAUCAGGGUUGUGGAAAGGAAAACUGAAUCAAGCUUUUGUAUUUCUGCCCAGUGAGGUGGAGCAGACAGCAGUUGGAAUGUGAUCCGGAGGGGGAGUGACAAUUGGAGUGAGAGAAGAGGAUUGUGGGAAAAACUGCUAACUGAAGGGCCUUUGCCCUCUGGACUCUGUUGAGUGUGGAGCAAAGACCUGGAGCUCUAGAUACCAACCUGAGGAAAAACCUUGCUUCCAUUUCCCUUAAAGAAGGUUCCAGUAUGUUUGAGAGCAUCCAUUAGAGGAAGAACAAACAAUAACAGGUGCUGAUCUCUUAACUUCAGGGGUCACCCUGAAGAUCCUUUCCAUCCUUUGACCUUCCCAAGAAGGCCCCUUGCCACUUUUUAAGGGAAGAGAGAGACAUUGAUUAGCUAAGAAGAAGACAGAUAAGUUGAAGCUGAGCCAUCUUGGCUCAGCUGAAGAAAACUAGAAACCCAGUAGGGUCUCCUCUUCCCUCAAAUCUCUCCCCCUUUCUUGAUUUACUAAAAUUAUUAAACUACUUGAGAAACAGAAAAUUGCAGUCAGAUUCAUAUUGAAGGGAG